UUUGUUUCUUGGAAUCUCAAUUGUUGAUCAAAGCUCCUUAUAGUUGUUGACCCUGAAAUUGUUUCAGCAAAAUGUUGGAUAACUGGAGCUUUGCACACUCCAACCAACCGUGAAAGUUCUCUUGCAGAAGGGAUGUAAUAUUGCUGGUACCAGAUGCAGGCAGCAAUCACAGGGAUAAAAACGAUAAAAACUUGCCAUGCCACCUGAGACAUCACUGCAAUGAUUCCCAAAAGCUGGAUCAUUGAGAAGGCAACUGCCCCAACUUGAUAUGGAAUUUGCAUGUCAACUGCACUUUGGUCUGUAGAAGCUCUAUUCAGGAUUCGUCCACUGGGAGUCGAAUCAAAAAAGGACAUGGGGGCACGGAAAAUGCACAAAUGCAUUUUAUUGAAGAGUAGAGUUGCUGUCUUGUACCCUGCUGUCACAAGAAGUGUGGAUCUGGCCAGGAUGCAAAAAGAACUUCCAACAGCCAAAGCUACAUAGACAACCAUUAGUGUAUAUCUGCUAACAACAGGUUUCACAUCCUUUGACACUGGAGUUGCCCAAGCCAUCCAAUAAUUGCUACUAAUUUGAAGGAUCUGAAAAAGAAUCUGUGCCAGCAAAAUAAAAGGCACUAGAGCUCCUCCAUAUGCCGUUGUAAGAUAUUUCCAGUAGACUGGAAACCCAACUCUACCUUUUUCUCUCUCUUCUUCUUGAACAAUCUGUCCUUUUGGCUCAGCCAUCUCAUCAGCUUUUCCAAUUUGCAGAUCCUUGUUUUCUUCUUUUUGGGGAACCCCAUUGGUAGUUCUCAUGCCAUUAUUGUCCUUGCUGACGCUAUCAUUUCCAGAAGCUGGCCCUGCCUGUUUCGAAUCAAGUGCUGACAAAGCUGUCUUAUGUGCACCAACAAGUUCCAUAAAAUCAGACCCUGAAUUGAGAAUGUCAUUAUAAUUUCCACCCUGAGUAAUCCUUCCAUCUUUCAUGACCAAUAUUAGAUCGGCAGCAGGUAAGAACUCAACUUGAUGAGUAACAUAAAUAACAGUUUUCGAACUCAACAGGCCAAGCAAAACUUCCUUAAAUAAAUGAGAUCCAGUAUGUGCAUCGACAGCGCUAAAAGGAUCAUCAAAUAGAUAGAUAUCAGCAUCUUGGUAGAGAGCUCGUGCAAUCUGUAUUCUUUGUUUCUGUCCGCCGCUCAGAUUGAUACCCCUCUCACCUAUAACUGUUUGGUCACCGAACGAGAGGAUUUCCAGGUCCUUCUUCAAGGAACAAGCCUCCAGUAUCCUCUCAUACCUUUCUCUGUCCAUCUCCUCACCAAACAAUAUGUUCUCCUCAAUCUUCCCACUCUGUAUCCAAGGUGACUGCGGAACAUAAGCCUUUUUCCCACACAACCUAAGUGUCCCUGAGAUCUUGGGUACCUCUCCCAAAAUGCAAGAAAGUAAACUCGACUUGCCUGAACCAACAGUACCACAUACAGCAACCCUCAUUCCAUGGAAUACUUUAAAAUUUAUAUCUUUUAGUGUUGGAUUAGGAGAAGACAAAUCCCAAGAGAAAUUCCCAUCAACUAUCUCGAUUGCUGUUUCAGAACUACCUCUUAGAAACUUCUCGACAACAUCAGACUGCAAGUCAUCAAGACGGAGGAAAGAUGCAAUUCUAUCAAGGGAAAC
rnacentral:misc_RNA from 1 species